AUUGAACGUUGGCGGCAUGCCUUACACAUGCUAGUCGAACGGUAACAGGUCUUCGGAUGCUGACGAGUGGCGAACGGGUGAGUAAUACAUCGGAACGUGCCCGAUCGUGGGGGAUAACGAAGCGAAAGCUUUGCUAAUACCGCAUAAGAUCUACGGAUGAAAGCAGGGGACCGCAAGGCCUUGCGCGAACGGGGCGGCCGAUGGCAGAUUAGGUAGUUGGUGGGAUAAAAGCUUACCAAGCCGACGAUCUGUAGCUGGUCUGAGAGGACGACCAGCCACACUGGGACUGAGACACGGCGCAGACUCCUACGGGAGGCAGCAGUGGGGAAUUUUGGACAAUGGGCGAAAGCCUGAUCCAGCCAUGCCGCGUGCAGGAUGAAGGCCUUCGGGUUGUAAACUGCUUUUGUACGGAACGAAAAGACUCUUUCUAAUAAAGAGGGUCCAUGACGGUACCGUAAGAAUAAGCACCGGCUAACUACGUGCCAGCAGCCGCAGUAAAAC
rnacentral:rRNA from 1 species